UACGUAGGGUGCAAGCGUUAUUCGGAAUUAUUGGGCGUGAAGCGCAUGCAGGCGGUUUGGUAAGUCUAAUGUGAAAUCCCCGGACUCAAUUCGGGAAGUGCAUCGGAUACUGCCAGGCUAGAGUGCAGGAGGGGUGAGCGGAAUUCCUGGUGUAGAGGUGAAAUUCGUAGAUAUCAGGAGGAACAACAGAGGCGAAGGCGGCUCACUGGACUGUAACUGACGCUCAGAUGCGAAAGCGUGGGGAGCAAACAGG
rnacentral:rRNA from 1 species